GGGGCUGCACUGGUUUCGACGUGGAUUCGGACGCGUAGCAGGGCAUGUCGAGCUGAAUGUGCUCGUAAAACUGAUUCAAAAAAACUAACUGCAAACGACGAACGUUUCGCACUCGCUGCUUAAUUGCUAGUGAGCCUCACAACAGCAAGCCGAUAGGCUGGGCAAGGGUGGUCAGAUCGAAAGAUCGGGCUAUCCAGGCUGUGGGGUAAUUUCAUUCGGCUGGGCCUGCCUUGGGUAACUUAGGGCAGGUCAAGAAAAUAGGUUGCUGGCGAUUUGCAUAGCGUGCCACUGCGCGAUGUGAAAAGCGAGAUCCAAAUCAGACGGCUACACAUGUAGAACUGUUCGAAGAAGGUUUGCGGACGGGGGUUCAAAUCCCCCCAGCUCCACCA
rfam:Rhodoferax antarcticus ANT.BR grfa_new.contig.16_1, whole genome shotgun sequence.